AGUUUAUGGAUACAAUUUAAUUCAACUGAUUAAAUUCAGGUUUAUUGGUUUAAUUUAUUAAUAAACUUAACUAACUUAUUAAUAUUAAAUUGAUAAAUCAAUUCAGUAAAUUAAAUCCAAUCUAUACAAUUUAAAGAGGAUGUGUCUUUAAGUUAGUACUGCUAGGCUUUAGAGACAGAAGGCUCAAUUUGAAUCUUACAGCAUGCCAGCACAUUGGUGGGGUUGUUUUAAGACCACAGGUCAUUGUACAGUAUUAUAAAUUUUUAAAAAAUUCUUUUUCUUUUUCUUUCUCUCUCUUCCCCUCUCUCUCUCUCUCUCUCUCUCUCUCUCUCUCUUUCUUUCUUUUUUUUUGUAACAGGGAUUGAAUCCAGAGAGGCUUAACCACUGAGCCACAUCCCCAGAACUUUUUAUUUUUUAUUUGAGACAAAGUCUUGCUAAGUUGCUUAGGGCCUUGCUAAGUUGUUGGAACUGCCUUUGAACUUGUGAUCCUCCUGCCUUAGCUUCCCAAGUUGCUGCAAUUACAGGUGUAUGCCACUGUGCCUGGUUUAAAGUUCAUUUUUAAAAAUUCAUUUUUGUUAAGCUACUCAGGAAUGAUCUUGGAGAUAUUCCAUUAUAAUCUAGUUUAUGAAAAACUGAUAAAUGUUAGAAUACUAAUUUACAUCAUCAGAGAGAGAAACCCAUCAAGCAUACUAGAAUAUAUAUGUAUUUUCUGGUCAUUCAUUAUCUGUUCAAUAGAUAACAAAGCUUUUGAAAAUUAU
rnacentral:lncRNA from 1 species